rnacentral:snRNA from 1 species
GUGCUCACUUCGGCAGCACAUACACUAAAAUUAUUAGCAUGGCCCCUGAGCAAGGGUGACACGCAAAUUAGUGAAGCAUUCCAUAUUUUU